rnacentral:rRNA from 1 species
CCUACGGGAGGCAGCAGUGAGGAAUAUUGGUCAAUGGACGAGAGUCUGAACCAGCCAAGUAGCGUGAAGGAUGACUGCCCUCUGGUUUGUCAACUUCUUUUAUAAAGGAAUAAAACGAGGCACGUGUGCCUUUUUGCAUGUACUUUAUGAAUAAGGAUCGGCUAACUCCGUGCCAGCAGCCGCGGUAAUACGGAGGAUCCGAGCGUUAUCCGGAUUUAUUGGGUUUAAAGGGAGCGUAGAUGGGUUUAUAAGUCAGUUGUGAAAGUUUGCGGCUAAACCGUAAAAUUGCAAUUGAUACUGGAAGUCUGGAGUACAGUUGAGGGAGGCGGAAUUCGUGGUGUAGCGGUGAAAUGCUUAGAUAUCACGAAGAACCCCGAUUGCGAAGGCAGCUUACUAAGCUGUGACUGACAUUGAUGCUCGAAAGUGUGGGUAUCAAACAGGAUUAGAUACCCGGGUAGUC